UGCUGCAGAUGGACAGACUAGUGUCGAAAUUAAUGUACUUCAGGGUGAGAGAGAGUUUGUUAGGGACAACAAAUCCCUUGGCAGCUUCCGCCUUGAUGGUAUCCCACCAGCACCACGAGGAGUUCCUCAAAUUGAGGUUAAAUUUGACAUUGAUGCCAAUGGUAUUCUUUCUGUUACUGCUGUUGAUAAAGGUACUGGCAAGAAGCAAGACAUCACCAUUACUGGUGCUAGUACCUUACCCAGCGAUGAGGUAUGUUAUGAUGUCAACUGAAUUCUUGCUGCAUUUAGCAUUUACUUGAUCUUUGAGAGUCACAGUGAUAUCCUUGUGAGGAAACGUGCUCGUAUGGGACAAUUACAAUGGUGCCCUUGAAAUUUGAGAGUGUAGGAAUUGCUCUAAAUUAUAACCAAGUAGACUGCUAACUCGCUUAUAAACUGCUUGUCAAAUUUGAUCUGAUGGAAGAUGCUUGUAUUGAUUGUUGUCAUGAAUGAAUAUAUUCAGGUUGAGAGGAUGGUGAACGAAGCUGAAAAGUUUGCAAAGGAGGACAAGGAGAAGAGAGAUGCCAUUGACACAAAGAACCAGGCAGAUUCUGUUGUCUACCAGACGGAGAAGCAACUGAAAGAGCUAGGAGACAAGGUUCCAGCUCCAGUGAAAGAGAAGGUUGAGGCAAAACUCAAGGAGCUCAAGGAUGCAAUUGCAGAUGGA
rnacentral:lncRNA from 1 species